CCCGCCCCGGCCCCGCCGCCCAACCACAAGUCGCCGCACAGAUCUCAUCCAUCAUUGGUAAAUCGAUAUUAUAUCGAAACGCGAAUUUGACGUUGGGCGUGGACCCGUGGGGUCAGGAGACAACUGGCGGCUGUAGUCAGCGGCUGAGUGGCAACAUUGUGAGACCCACCAACAGUGAUGAGGACGAAACAGUCGUCACCUGCAUCCAUUUCCCCGGAGCACCUCUCCAGUGAUGACCUCUCCAGUGAUGACCUCUCCAGUGAUGACUUCCGUAGUGAUGACUCCACAGCCAAGCCAGGGUCACCGCCGACUCCCAUCGAUGACCUGCGAGCCUUUGCAAUGACCUCCAAGCCGUAAUGGUGACAAACAAUGAUGACCUGCGAGCUAUAGUCCAUCAAUUGGACGUAUUUCUAUCAAACGGAACUAUGUGCAUUGUGACAUGAGCCCUGUAAUGCAUACAUUCGUAUGGGUCUUAAGGCUCAUGUGUUAUUGCACAUAGUUCCGUUUGAUAGAAAUACGUCCAAUUCUCAGACGAAAGAACGUAACUCCUUUACAAAUUUGCAAAAUUGACUGAAACAAUUCGAUGGACCUUUAAAGAAGGUGAAAAUUUAAGCACGAAACAGCUUGUCUGGUAUAGGCACGUGCAACGGAUGCUAGCGGGCCGAUUUUUGAAAGUGAUAGACAAAGCUUUAGACAAAGAUAACAAGAGGGAUAUGGAGGGAACCUAUAGGUGGAAGCUGGUGGUUGCAAUGGACAAAGGCAGUAGGUAAUAGACUAACUAACGGCAACCCACGAGAAACCCGACAGUUAGUCCAAGAGCCACACAUUUCAACCAAUAGGAUCCCUCCAUACCCCCUUUGUCUUCUUUGUCUAUAGCUUUGUCUAUCGAUUUCAAUAAUCAGCCCGCUGAUGAAAGGUUGCUGAAGAAAGUUCUAGAUUGGGUCCCCCUUGGCAGAAAACGUAGAGGACGCCCUGCCAAAUCGUGAAUCGAGGGAAUAAGGCAGGCAAUUAGGAGAUGCGAUCUGCCGGAGUUGCUCUGGCAAGAUCUCUAUUAGUGGCGGUUUUGUGUCGCAGAGCGCACAGAAGCGCUACAAGAGUGACGAGUUAGUUAGUUAGUAAAAAUUUAAGCACUCUGAUUUAUGUUUCCGUUUCAAAGUCUCAUUUAGAAUACGAUUUUUGCAACAAAAAUAAUCCCCGCAUCAACAUUAAUGAGAAUAAUCCGUGCAGAGCGUGCAAACAUUUCCAAAUCAUGAGUUGAAAAACGCUGACUUCGCGGGUUUGAAUAUUAGACUCUAAGAGAGCGGAGCGAGGAGCUACCAGCGGGAUACGCGCACUAGCGCCUACAAACCUAACUGAAUACCUCGUGCAUUGCGCAAAGCUUGAAGUAUCCUCUUAGGUUUGUAGGCGACAAUGCGCGCGUCGCGCCGGCCGGGCUACUGCCCGAAUUUCCCGCUCACACGAAAAAUUUUAUAGUCUACUGAAUGAGCGGAAUCGUCCAUGCACUUUCACAUUGGCAAGGAUCUUAUUACAUAGUGUUCCUUCUACGCCCUGUGAUGUUCAUAGUAUGAUUAACGUGCAACAGCUGUGCCGAAGCGUCAAGAUUGAGGUUGUCAUGUUUGCAUACUGCGAAGACUGCCGCAGGGUAACGCUUAGUGUGCGAUUUGACUGAAGUAGUAGCUUUUUUAUUGAGCAGAAAGUUUGAAUUUAUACAUAAAAAACAUUAAUUUCUUGUUAGAAGUUACGGGCAGCAUAUUUUGUUUUACAAAUUCUGUUCAACUUGAAAUUUUGUAUAGGAAACAUGUAUCAGAAUGCUUCAAUUCGUACCUUGUCUAGUGGUCCAUUGUAAGGGAAUUUAUUUCGGUAUAUUUGGUUUCCACAUGAAACGACCUACACAGGUGAGGUGACCUACAUUUUUUUCAAGUAGGUAGAGCGGCCAACUUUCGGAGUAACCAUUACACAAAAGAUGGAAAUACAGUGGAAUCGGAUAAUACAUUCGCUAAAAAUGACAUAUCGGUUAUAACGACCUGCGAUCCGGUCAGUCCCGUGGCUGAAAUCCCAUUUAUUCAGUGUACUUGAGCAUCGGUUAUAGCGACAAUCGGAUAAAACGACCAAAUUUGGCCGGUCCCUAGAAGGUCGUUGUAUCCGAUUUCCACUGUGGCAAUUUUGCAAGGUUGAAAUCGAGAUACGUUCUUUCGUAUAUGGAUUAAGACGAGUCGUCACCUUUCUAGCCCAUGGUGUUAUGCUACCGAAAAGAGGAAUUAAUUUCCGCAAUUUUCACCGUCUCCGGAGAAAGAUGCCUGAGUUUCACAAAUUUCAAAAUUGAGACAAUUUUUUGCAUUAAGGCGUAAGUUCUUGGAACCGUUUAGGAGCUGUUAAUUUGUGUACGAGCAAACGACCGCAAGAAUAUCAUUGAAAAUGAGGCAGAAGUUCUCAAUUUAUUUGAUUGCGAAGGUAAAUUUGGCUCCUGGACAUUUUGUCAACGAUUUUUUGUCCGCGCACCUGUUUUGUCCAGUAGUUUACGUCCACUUUGUAAAAUAAGUAACAAAGACUUGGUCCAAGCAUUAUAUUUAUGUUAAAUUAUAAGUAAAA